rnacentral:rRNA from 1 species
AUUGAACGCUGGCGGCAGGCUUAACACAUGCAAGUCGAGCGGGGUGAUGGUGCUUGCACUAUCACUUAGCGGCGGACGGGUGAGUAAUGCUUAGGAAUCUGCCCAUGAGUGGGGGUCAACAUCUCGAAAGGGAUGCUAAUACCGCAUACGUCCUACGGGACCAAGCAGGGGAUCACUUGUGACCUUUCGCUAAUCGAUGAGCCAAAGUCGGAGUAGCUAGUUGGUGGGGUAAAGACCAACCAAGGCGACGCUCUGUAGCGGGUCUGAGAGGAGGAUCCGCCACACUGGGACGGAGACACGGCCCAGACUCCUACGGGAGGCAGCAGUGGGGAAUAUUGGACAAUGGGGGUAACCCUGAUCCAGCCAUGCCGCGUGUGUGAAGAAGGCCUUAUGGUUGUAAAGCACUUUAAGCGAGGAGGAGUCUCUUUUGGUUAAUACCCAAGAUGAGUGGACGUUACUCGCAGAAUAAGCACCGGCUAACUCUGUGCCAGCCGCCGCGGUAA